UACGUAGGGUGCGAGCGUUGUCCGGAUUUAUUGGGCGUAAAGGGCUCGUAGGCGGCGUGUCGCGUCGGGAGUGAAAGCCCGUUGCUUAACGGCGGGUUGGCUUUCGGUACGGGCAUGCUGGAGUGCGGCAGGGGAGACUGGAAUUCCUGGUGUAGCAGUGAAAUGCGUAGAUAUCAGGAGGAACACCGGUGGCGAAGGCGGGUCUCUGGGCCGUAACUGACGCCGAGGAGCGAAAGCGUGGGGAGCGAACAGG
rnacentral:rRNA from 1 species